GUGCUCACUUCGGCAGCACAUAGACUAAAAUUGGAAUGAUGCAGAGAUGAUUAGCAUGGCCCCUGCACAAGGAUGACACACAAAUUCGCGAAGCAUUUUAUAUUUUU
rnacentral:snRNA from 1 species